UACAGAGGUCCCAAGCGUUGUUCGGAUUCACUGGGCGUAAAGGGUGCGUAGGCGGUCGGGUAAGUCUGAUGUGAAAUCUCACAGCUUAACUGUGAAACUGCAUUGGAUACUAUCCGGCUCGAGGAAUGGAGGGGAGACUGGAAUACUUGGUGUAGCAGUGAAAUUCGUAGAGAUUAGGAAGAAUACCAGUGGCGAAGGCGACUUUCUGGACUGUAACUGACACUGAGGCUCGAAAGCGUGGGGAGCAAACAGG
rnacentral:rRNA from 1 species